UACGGAGGGUGCGAGCGUUGUCCGGAAUCAUUGGGCGUAAAGGGCGCGUAGGCGGCUUUGCAAGUGACGGGUGAAAGCCCUCGGCUUAACCGAGGAACUGCCUGUCAGACUGCGAAGCUUGAGACCGGGAGAGGUGAGUGGAAUUCCCAGUGUAGCGGUGAAAUGCGUAGAUAUCGGAAGGAACAUCAGUGGCGAAAGCGACUUCCUGGACCAAUACUGACGCUCAUGUGCGAAAGCGUGGGGAGCAAACAGG
rnacentral:rRNA from 1 species